GAGAGCUGAUUGCUGGCGCGGCGUAACGAGCAUGCAGGCUACGCGUAAACGCAGCCGCGGUUCGCGUCGAGUGUUGAAUGCACUCUCGCGGCUCCGAUCCAAUGGAGUUCCUGUGUCCUCGCGGGGAUCGUAUCGGCGAGAUCGUUAGCCGAGCCAUUCGCUUCGUUGAUCCACUCUGACGCGCUCGAUCCCCGCUGAGAUCGGCAGCAACGACGAGUCACGUCGAGGAUUCUUGGCGGUCAUAUUUAUCGGAGAUGGCGCUAUUCCGUAAAUUUUUCGUCGUUCCGAGUGCUGAGAAAAUACCACGACAGAGUUCGAGUAAUUAACGAAUCAUGCUCGUACGAAGCUAAACAAGAACACCUGGAGGAAAGCAAACGAAAGCGCCCCGAUCGAUGAAGGAUCGGUUUGACGAGCGCACAGCUGCGCAUGCGCGCAAUCGGAGCGACACGUUUGAAAUAAUUCAACAACCAAGUCCCGAGAAUCACGAGAUCUCGAGACAAGAGCUGGCGGCAAUCCGUGAAGGCUCAGAUACGACGCAUUUCCAUCACAACCGAGAUGAUUCCUGUGAGAUAGAUCAGGAACUUCGCCUCUGACCUGAGUCACGAAUGAGGUUAAGAAUGUUGCGGAUCGACGAUGCAAAGAAUGUAUUAUCUUGGUUCACGCACACACGCCUAUACAUCGAAUCCACCUUCGUUGAUUUACAUCUUCGAGGAAGCAACAGGAUGAUCCACGGAAACAACCUUAUUUAUGGCGAGAGAAACACAGAAUCGAGAAGUCUAAGACAACCGUGACAGGAACUAGGAUGAAGCAGAAGAUGCGAAGAAGUGUCGUGGAAGUAUAGAGAAAGACGAAGUGCGUUUGCCGAGGCAAGGAGGGCUAAUUAAUUGGCGGGCGUGCUAAUUAAGGGCGAGAAACGUAAUGUCACGGCGCUCUAUUUGCACAGCACGCCAGGCACAGAAAGCCAAGCUGUUUCAGACUGUUUACAAUCUUCCAAGUUCAGACGGUUUCCAUUGAGUCUCAUUAGUGUUAAUCGCAUCGCGUUCACGGUUAGUAAACGGAAGGAUGUUUGGAUGCGUUUGGCCGAUGAAAUUCAGUUCGAUCGGCCGAUUGUCUGCGUUGCUGCAGGUGCCAAAGUCGAUGGAACAUCCCGUAAAUCACUGUCGUACAAAUGGAGACAAAUUCCACCGAGAAAGUUGGAAACAUGAGGACACGAAUGUGGUUCGACGACGAGAAAAUCGUUUGUAGAACGUUGGGACGUUUGUCGUCGGUUUGCUCGUGGUUUGCGAAGAUCCGGAAGAGGAUUUGCUGGAAGGUAAAUCGAUCUUCCUGAGCUCUGGAUUGGCGAACCAUUGAAUUGGUUCGCAGAAUUUCGCUAUAAGAUAUUAAAGGAAGUUGAUAGGGAUUUCUAGAUUUAUACAAGCUAAACAGUAAAGCAAAAGAAAGUUUGUGUAAAUGUUGUGUACAAAUUAUACAAAAUGUUUCAAAAUCGUUGGCAAAAAUGUGGGUACAAGCAGUAGUUCGAUCGAAGUUCGAUCGAAGAGUAAUAUCAACGAAAGAAUGGACUCGAAGUAUGUAUUUUAUAUAUCGUUCAUGAGAUUCACGUUGUUUUACAGUAGAUUAUCGAAUUCAUAUAAAGCUACUAUAAAAUGAGAAUAUUUAAUAACAAAAUACAAAAUACGGUUUAGCAUUAGCUAGGUUUUAAAACUAUUUAAUUUAAUACAAUUCAUGAUCAAAAUUAGCUAAUUUACUUUUAAAUUAUCUUGCGAUAAAGAUUUUGUAAAAUAAAUAUUUAUACGAAUCUUCUUUCCACUUCGUUUUAAACGAUCUGUGUAAUAGUUUCAAAAUAAAGAAUUAAUUUUCCUUUUUAAAACACAUGUAUUUCCUCAUUUACCGUACUUUCAAUCAUUCUUCUGUUAUUGCAAAGCGAAGAUUAGUCGUGUUUUUGCAAGUAUCUAUGUCUUACAAUCGCGUACUCCUCAAUUAUUGUUUACGACACCUAAUUAUAAUUACAUCACAAGUGCAUCUCGAUAAAACGAUAGAGGAGCUCUAUGAAAGUAUCAACACGCGUAACGACGAAAGGCAACAAAAAUCAUUUCCCUGGAGUUGUAUGAUUUCGAAACCACCAACAUCUACGCAAACGUAUCCACAAUAACAGAACUUCAACGUCAAAGAAGUAGCAGAUGACGCUCUAACUAAAAAGAAAUGGCGUCAUCAAGGGAAACGUAGCGGUGCACCUGCAGUACCGUAGAAUGGCGAUAAUUUCUGCGUAAAUAAAGCGAACGCUAAUUUUCGUUUCGAUAAAUGGCUCAAUUAAAACUGUAAAGUCGCCCGCGGUCGCGAUUUUUCCGACACGUGCUCGCGCUCGAAACCACUGCCAAGUCACGAAUUAAUUAAAUUCCCCAGCGACUAAUUAAGACACAGAAACGGGACACGCGAGUGCGUGAGUCUUCGUUCGAAUGUUACAUCAGACAUUCUGUCGUCCGGAACGGAGAACACCCAUUGAAACGCGGCAUGCUCACGAUCGUCGACGCGCGAACAAAACGAAAGUUAAACGCGCAUCGGCCUGGAUGAAAAUUCGCGUGUGAGAUCUGGCCGGAUAAAGAAAGCGCAAGUCGUGAUUGUGUGCAAAUUGCACGCCACGCUGCCCUGUCACGCUAAACACCAACCAUUUUACGGAAUAACGUGAAAAGGAUACGUUCCUUUCUUUUCUUUUUUUUUUGUCGAGCUCUUACGUGUGUCGGAAAUCUAGCGUUGCGUUAUCCAAUUGCCUGUUUCGACACUUCUUUGUAAAUUUUAUGAAUUGAAAUCGCUUGUGUUGCGAUUUUUGAUUAAUAACACUAAUCAAUCGGUAUAUAGGUGGCAAUUUAGAUUGUAAAAUUAUAUUAUAAGAACCGUCUUUUCUUUUUUCAUUUUUUUUUUUUUUUUUUUUUUUUUUAGAUUCGAGGAACAUUAUGAAGAAAUGACCCACACGACAAAACGGCAAAUUGAGCGAAAUGGGUCGGGUGUUUCAGUCCUGGCUUUUUUAAUAUUACCUACGUUUUUAGAACAGCUUUUUAGAAUUGAGGGAUUUUAUGAAGAACGACCCAAACGAUAGAAUGAUAAAUUGAGUGGACUGGGUUGGAAAUUUUAGACACGAUUUUUUAAUAUUACCUGCGUUUGAAUUGAUAAUUACUAUGACUCUUGGAGAGUUUUGUACUAUUUAUGCUUGCAAAAUAAACAGAGAUUUCAUUGGAAUUCUAUUAUUUGAUUGACAAAUACGCCAAGCUCCUAGAUACAUAUUUAUCAUCAAACCCUAUACUGCAGCAUUCCGCACUUUUGCUUCUCAAUUUUAGAAUUUUUAUAUGGAAUGAAACAACAAGAGGGCUUGAAACUUGUAAAAUUGUAGUAUUUCGUUUCGUUUAUUAAGACAUUUUUUACUAUUAUAUAACGGAUUUUGUUAACAUUGGUAAUUUGUAAAAUUUUCCUAAUACUGUAUUAGUUUAAUCAUGCAAGAAAUUUCUGGCCCUAUAUUAUCGGUUUCUCAUUUUCUUCUUUCAUGUUGUUUGUACAAUAAAUUUGUAAGGAAGGAAAUUGGAAUUCGAAUUUUCGCGUGAUAUCAUAUUUGAGAUGUAUGAAUAUUUUAUGAUUUAGUCUUUAUGUGUAGUUUGCUCGUGGAUUGUUUGUGGACUGUAGUUAAGGCUAAUUGGAGUUGUUUGUAAUGUUGCAGUUUGCCGUGUAAAUGAACAGUAUAAUUGAACGAAUAUAAUGUGUAAUGUGCAAACAGGCAACGAAUAGUAGUUUAAUACAACAUGCAAUGAAUUUCGUAGAUGAGCGUAGUAUUGUAUUAUGUACCUUUUACCGCAAAUUUUCCUCGAUCUCAGUAUGUGUAAUUGACUGUUCAAUAUACGCAGACAUAAUAUCGACUGUUGUAAUAAUUUACUUCUUUCUAAACGCUUAACACUCACGUAACAUAAAGACGAAUAUAUUAAACUUUAAUUCAAACGAAAAUACAAUUUUGACAAUGUAUAAUAAUUAUUUAAUGUUCUAGGAAUAUCACAAUUUAAGUACACAGAAAGUAGUAACUCAUAAAAUAUAAUGACAGUCUACCUUGAUCAUCUUUUCCAAGAUAAUGUUCAACUCUUUCCAAGAAAUACGUUUUCAAAGAGAAUUACAUAUCUCAUUUUCUUUCAAUCUCUCCUAUUAAACGUACUAAAAAGGAAAGACCUCUA